rnacentral:rRNA from 1 species
GUGAGGAAUUUUCCGCAAUGGGCGAAAGCCUGACGGAGCAAUGCCGCGUGAAGGAUGAAGGCCUAUGGGUUGUAAACUUCUUUUCUUAGAGAAGAAUAUUGACGGUAUCUGAGGAAUAAGCCCCGGCUAACUUCGUGCCAGCAGCCGCGGUAAUACGAAGGGGGCGAGCGUUAUUCGGAAUCACUGGGCGUAAAGCGUGCGUAGGCUGUUUUGUAAGUCAGAAGUGAAAGCCCAGGGCUUAACCCUGGAAUUGCUUUUGAAACUACAAGACUCGAAUGCGGGAGAGGAUAGCGGAAUUGUCAGUGUAGCAGUGAAAUGCGUAGAUAUUGACAGGAACACCAGUGGCGCAAGCGGCUAUCUGGACCGAUAUUGACGCUGAGGCACGAAAGCGUGGGGAGCAAACAGGAUUAGAAACCCCGGUAGUCC